CUUUCUCCCAUGUAGAGAACUAGGAAGUAGCUGGUGACCACUAUGUCCACAUGGGCUCCCUCACCCGAUCAUCAAGGUCCCCUGUGCUAUCCAUAGCCUUCCCUCACCCUGGCAAAGGUGAUGCAAAGCCUUUACUCUACACACCCAUCCAACCUGAGCCUUAUCAUCUAACAUACUCACAUGGGGUCUUAUUGUACUCUAUGCACCCCCAGUUCAAGAGGAUGACAAGCGAACCUUACUGUAAAUAUCUUUUCAUGUUUCUAAUCCUCCCACACAUGCCUCCGGUUUCCUCCCUGGCCCUCCAAGCUUACAGUCUGUUUCCUUCUGUGGUGAAGUUGGGCAAGUUCCGAUGCUUGGGGUGGAGAGCCAUGAAUCAUGAGUGAGAGGCUCUGGGAACACCAAGUCCACACUACUCUACUUACAAGUCCUAAACUGCCUAGUGGGAUCCAACGCUGACCCCAGUGGAGUUCUUUACCCAUGACUGGUGUCCUCAGGAAUGUGUCUGUGGGAAGAAAAGUCUCAAAUGCUGGGGAAUGGAGCCAUCGAUAAUUUCUUUCCUAUGUUGGAGUGCAAGAGAGCCCCUAAGGCUGGAGCACUCCCCAAGUAAGCAGGCAGAGACAGAGACCUGAGUCCUACUGCUGAGUCAUUUAAAUCUGCUUUAGAUCGGGUUUUCCCAGGGCAUGGAAAGGACAGGGCUCCCAGUGGAGAUAUCAUGUAGCUAUAGGGCCUAGAAGUAUUUUUUCAGUAGAUGAAAUUUAGAAAUAAUUUGAAUAUUUUAUGCUGGGGAGGUAGCUUGUGGAGUGAAAUGGUCGGGUAAAGGAAACACUGAGUUCAAGUGCUUCUUUAUAAAGGACACUUAACUGAUCUAAAUAUUUGUCAAGCUGAAUCGCUACAUCCACUCUCACCUGCCUGAAAUCAAUAUGCUCAAGUCAAACGCAUUUGCCUGCAUCUGAAUGUGGAGAAUGAACUUCUUAAAGCUGAACUGGCAGCUGGAAGGGGAGAGAGAAGAGCUGGACAGGGAGCCAGGACACCGGAGUUCUUUUCCACUGUGGUGGGAUCUGGAAGAAGCUGUUGAAUCUCUGUAGAGUUAGCUUUUAAAUGCUGUGAGUCUUUGGAAAGCUGUGCGAAUAACUGCUAAACACCCAGGACAGCUUAUGCAUUUUUUGAAAAAGGUUCCUGGUGCUGGUUCCAGCAGAAUAGACACAGAGAUGCAUGGCCUAACUCCCACUCCCUCUUCAGGACUGAGCCACGCAGCCCCCCAUCUGCCAGAAGUGUUAGCUGUUGACGGCUCACAGCUGAGUCCCUCUCCAGGCAUUGCUGAAAAGAGCCACCUUGCUCUAGGAUGUGCCCCCACCCUGGGGGCAGCAUACAUUCCAAGUGAUUAGUCCAUAGUGUGGUACAAAGGUUGUACCCAUCUUGCCUGAAUUCAGGAUCUCUUGGAAAACCACCCCAGCUCUGCAGCUCCUGGUGGGGUGCUGAGGCCUCUGCUGCAGCUGCAUCGCAGUUUACUUUCCCCUCUGCCUAGUCCUGCUGCCUUCACUCCCCAACAGGUAUUGUUCCCCAGAGAACUCCCUGCCCCCAGUCACCUGUAAGCAAAUCUCCACUGCAGUCUGUGGCCUGGGAAACCUGCUCUAGGAUCCCAAAGUGAACACAGCUUCCCAUUGAAAUGUGUCUUUGGGUGUUAAUCUGUCCUGCCAUCUUUACAUCUAAUCAAGAGGUAGAGCUUCCCCUGGUGUUCCUGCUGGGUACAUAAAGGAUCUUUUCCAUUGUCUUUUAUGUCGUUUGUAAAUUGAAUCACCUCAUUUGUUCUGACCUGGAUAAUUUUCUCCGUUAAUGCUUGUGUUGGUUCGCAACACUGGGUCUCUGUAAGCAGACACCCUUACCACUUUUUAUUGCAUCCCAAGUACUUAUUUCAGAUAUUGUAAAACCCGCUCUGAACAUGCCAUCUACUGUGGAAAUCUUCAAUCUUUAAUUAAUUUUUCCUGUUACAGGAAGAUUAAGUCUAAAAGGGUAUCUCCCCUAGUUGAUCCAGAACUAAAUAACAUUGUUUUCAGUACUUCCAGUAACUUGCUUACACUCUUACUUCUAAAGCAUUGAAUGUAUCAUCUUAUGUGCUUGUCACCCCCAGCUUGUGUCAUAGGAGAAAGUAUACGGAGAUCAGGUACAACUUCAGUUCAACAGCUUAUGAGCUAUUGGAUCAGUCUCCUUAUUAAUCUCUCAGAGCCUCAAUUUCCUUGUUUAAAAUGGGGGCAAUACCUACCUUAAGGAAUUUCUUGAGGAUCAAAAGAAACCCUAGUAACAAAGCCUUGAACCAUGUCUGACUUAUAGUAUAUAUUCUAACUGCAAGUUCUUUUCAUGUCUUGUCCAUGAAUUCUUCAUUCAUUCAUUCAUUCAUUCAUCCAACAACCAAGCAUUCACUGAUGCUCCAAUUGUGCAAGACACUGUUUUAGGCCUUGAGAAUACAAACUGCACAAGCAGGACAAUGUAACCAGUGUUAUGCAGGGUCUGGUCUAGUGGGAGGAGAAGACAGUGACCAUGGCCCAUGAUGAGUGACAGAAUGAAAAGUAAUCAGGAAGAUAUGAUAGGAAAUACAGGGAGAAUGGGAGAGUCUGCUUUAUGUUGCAUAAUCAGAGGGCAGCUCUGGACAGGCAAAAUUUGAGCUGAGACCUAAAUGACAAGGAGUGAAGCCAAUGGAACAUCUGAAAGAAUAGUUUUCUAGAAAGAGAGCCCAGCUAGUGUGAGCCCUAAAGUAGGUAGAAAAUGGGCUUGGAGGGUUUUAUAUGAGGAGCAGCGGGAAGUAGGCAGAGGCCUGGUCAUUGUAGGUCAUGUUGGCUAGAGUAAAGAGCUUGUGUUUGAUUCUCAGGGCAAUGAAGAGCCUUUGGAGAAUUUAAAGCAAAGUGGGGAGGGGGAACAAGAGCUGAUUUACAUUAUUCUGAACAGCACCAGGAGGGAUAGUACUGGAUAAUAAGAGUGGUAAAAGGAGACCAUUUAGGAGGUUAUAGCAAUUGUCCAGGGUGGCCUGGCCUGCCACGGUAGCCACAGAGACGGUGAGAGGUGAGGAGGUGCCAGGUACCGUCAUGGGAGACAUAAUGACAUUCGAUCAAUGCUGAACUACAUAUAUGACGGUGGUACCAUGAGAUUAUAAUGGAGCUGAAAAAUUCCCAUCACCUAGUGACCUCGUAGCUGCUGGAACAUUGCAGGGCAAUGCAUACACACAUGUAUGUGGUGAUAGUGGUGCACACAAACCUACUAUGCUGCCAGUCCUAUAAAAGUGUAGCACACAGGAUUAUGUACAGUACAUAACACUUGAUAAUGAUAACAAAUGACUAGGUUACUGGUUUAUGCAUUUACCAUACUAUACUUUUAUCGUUAUUUUAGAGAGUACUCCCUCUACUUAUUUAAUAAAUAUAGUUAACUGUAAAACAGCCUCAGGCAGGUCGUUCAGGAGGUAUUCUAAAGAAGGCAUUACUAUCACAGGAGAUGACAACUCCAUGCGUGUUAUUGCCCCUGAAGACCUUUCAGUGGGAUACAGUGUGGAGGUGGAAGACAGUGAUACUGAUGAUCCUGACCCUGUGUAGACCUAUGCUAAUGUGUGCUUGUGUCUUAGUUUUUCACAAAAAAGGUUUAAAAAUAAAAAUACAAAAGAAUAAAAAAGGUUAUAGAAUAAGGAUAUAAAGAAAGAAAAUACUUUUGUACAGCUGUAUAAGUGUUUGUGUUUUAAAUUAAGUGUUAU
rnacentral:lncRNA from 10 species